UACUACUACAACAUCACCCUCAAUAUAUCCAAUCUCAUUUGAUCUUAACAUAUAAGCAGGGUCGAUUCUGGUUAGUAUUUGGAU
rnacentral:rRNA from 1 species